rnacentral:snoRNA from 1 species
UGUAGAGCACCCAAAACCAUGAGAAGAAGACUUAGUGUUCUUUCCUGAGUGUGAAGCCGGCUCUUAGUGUUGCUUUCUGCAGCUGCUGUUCGCCAUUGAUGAUCGUUCUCGAUUCAAGAGGGAGAGGACACAGUCUGA